UACGUAGGGGGCCAGCGUUGUCCGGAAUCAUUGGGCGUAAAGCGCGCGUAGGCGGCCAGAUAAGUCCGGUGUGAAAGUCAAAGGCUCAACCUUUGAAUGCCGCUGGAAACUGCCUGGCUUGAGUCCGGAAGGGGCGAGUGGAAUUCCUGGUGUAGCGGUGAAAUGCGCAGAUAUCAGGAGGAACACCAAUGGUGAAAACAGCUCGCUGGGGGUUUGCAGACGCUGAGACACGAAAGCCAGGGGAGCGAACGGG
rnacentral:rRNA from 1 species